AGGUGCGAUCAUACCAGCACUAAUGCACCGGAUCCCAUUAGAACUCCGCAAAUAAGCGUGUUUGGGCGAGAGUUGUACUAUGAUGGAUGACCUCCUAGGAAUUCCUCGUGUUACACCUU
rfam:Cicer arietinum chromosome Ca3, whole genome shotgun sequence.